GACGAACGCUGGUUGCGUGCUUAACACAUGCAAGUCGAACGGAAAGGCCCUGCUUUUGUGGGGUGCUCGAGUGGCGAACGGGUGAGUAACACGUGAGUAACCUGCCCUUGACUUUGGGAUAACUUCAGGAAACUGGGGCUAAUACCGGAUAGGAGCUCCUGCUGCAUGGUGGGGGUUGGAAAGUUUCGGCGGUUGGGGAUGGACUCGCGGCUUAUCAGCUUGUUGGUGGGGUAGUGGCUUACCAAGGCUUUGACGGGUAGCCGGCCUGAGAGGGUGACCGGCCACAUUGGGACUGAGAUACGGCCCAGACUCCUACGGGAGGCAGCAGUGGGGAAUAUUGCACAAUGGGCGGAAGCCUGAUGCAGCAACGCCGCGUGCGGGAUGACGGCCUUCGGGUUGUAAACCGCUUUCGCCUGUGACGAAGCGUGAGUGACGGUAAUGGGUAAAGAAGCACCGGCUAACUACGUGCCAGCAGCCGCGGUGAUACGUAGGGUGCGAGCGUUGUCCGGAUUUAUUGGGCGUAAAGGGCUCGUAGGUGGUUGAUCGCGUCGGAAGUGUAAUCUUGGGGCUUAACCCUGAGCGUGCUUUCGAUACGGGUUGACUUGAGGAAGGUAGGGGAGAAUGGAAUUCCUGGUGGAGCGGUGGAAUGCGCAGAUAUCAGGAGGAACACCAGUGGCGAAGGCGGUUCUCUGGGCCUUUCCUGACGCUGAGGAGCGAAAGCGUGGGGAGCGAACAGGCUUAGUUACCCUGGUAGUCCACGCUGUAAACGGUGGGUACUAGGUGUGGGGUCCAUUCCACGGGUUCCGUGCCGUAGCUAACGCUUUAAGUACCCCGCCUGGGGAGUACGGCCGCAAGGCUAAAACUCAAAGGAAUUGACGGGGCCCCGCACAAGCGGCGGAGCAUGCGGAUUAAUUCGAUGCAACGCGUAGAACCUUACCUGGGUUUGACAUGGAUCGGGAGUGCUCAGAGAUGGGUGUGCCUCUUUUGGGGUCGGUUCACAGGUGGUGCAUGGCUGUCGUCAGCUCGUGUCGUGAGAUGUUGGGUUAAGUCCCGCAACGAGCGCAACCCUUGUUCACUGUUGCCAGCACGUUAUGGUGGGGACUCAGUGGAGACCGCCGGGGUCAACUCGGAGGAAGGUGGGGAUGACGUCAAGUCAUCAUGCCCCUUAUGUCCAGGGCUUCACGCAUGCUACAAUGGCUGGUACAGAGAGUGGCGAGCCUGUGAGGGUGAGCGAAUCUCGGAAAGCCGGUCUCAGUUCGGAUUGGGGUCUGCAACUCGACCUCAUGAAGUCGGAGUCGCUAGUAAUCGCAGAUCAGCAACGCUGGGGUGAAUACGUUCCCGGG
rnacentral:rRNA from 1 species